rnacentral:lncRNA from 1 species
GGUGCCACCUUACAUACAAAAGGAUGGGUGUACACUCUCUUUUCAGAUUUGGGUUUUGGUUUUUUUUUCUGUUCCAGAUAUGGUUCAUCUCAAAGCCCUUUACCCUUUGGAGCCAGGCCUGUUCGAUUUUACAAAUAGCACGUUUUGCUUGUAGUCAGGGUGCUGUGACAACAUGAAAAGUUCAAGCUACCUCCCAGGAUGAGUGCAGGUUUUCCUGGUGACAAAUCUCAGGCAUUCAAAGGUUCUGUUAGCAGUGCCAUACUUGGGUUUACAGAGAUGGUGUGUCUGACUGAGAGCAAAGGAGCCAUACCAGGAAAGUUGAAGCAUAUCUUCAUUUUCAAGUCCAGGCUAAAAUAAGGUCUGAGGAAAAGAAUGAGCUGCGUGUGAAGGGAUAGAAAAAGAAAUCAUGAAAGAUCUGUUUGUCCAGGCCAGUGUUUCACCAUAAGAGAUCACUUUAAAUGAGAUGAAGUAAUUCUUUGCAAUUGCAAAUUUACCUUCC